AUUCCUGUGAAGAAGAAAGACCGAUAGGAAGUGCCGUAUGACACUCCAAACAGCAGCGGCGAUGUCCUCCCACUCUUCCCAUCCGCCAAUGUCAACCCUAUUAUCUACUCUUAGGGUUCCGUGCAUUGGUCGGGAUCUGCGGGCUUUGGCGUUCCGCUGUGUGCGUGAUUUGAAAAGAGGUCUCUGAGGAUC